GGGUUUUUUUUGAAUAGCAGUUGUCAAAUUUUAUGUUUCGACUUGUACUCUAACAUGGAAUACGAAAAUUUUCAACAUUUUCCCUCUUUAAUCAUGAAAAAUCAAACUAGAUACAAGUGAUUUUGGGAAGUGAAAAACGAAUUUUUGUAUAAACCUAUUACACAUAUGGAACUGGUGGAAUCACAUGGAUAUUCUGAGGCUAGAAACUAUCACCAAUUAUGAGAUCAUCAGAUUCUUCGAUGUCAACUUCUUAAUUCUCUUCUUGAUGGUGUAUCCAGUUAUUUAUUAUUUUUCAAUAAUUUUUUUUAGAUCUCUGAGGCCAGAGAUAAUACUUGUUUGAAUUUAUAAUAUUUUUAUAUGAACCCAUUUGAUUACAUGACUCUAUUGAAAGCACCGAUAUUUUACUCAUAUAAUAAAACAUUGUCAGUCUGACAUCAAAUUGACAACUAGCUAUUGUGAAGUGAAAAAUUCUUGGUGCAAUAUGAAAUUCAAGUCAUCAAUAGAAGUGGAUAUGACAGGUUAAUUGAUGGGUCCUCAAUUGGUCUUAGGAAUACUUCUAACUCUUUUAAUCCUCUUUUAUAUCUAUUGUCCAGAUGAAACACUAGACAGAGUUACUUGGUUAUUUUACAACUUUGCUUAUGGAUGAAGAAUAUUUUGGCUCUCGAUUUUGUCAAAAGGAUAUUGAUUACAUCUGGAUUCAUCAUUGAAUGAUGGAGAUUGGGAAACGUUGGAUAUGGGUAAUCAUCAUCCUAUGUAUCUGCUUUUGGAUUGCAAUGCAUGAAGACCUUUUGCAAUUUGUAACUGAAUUGAUGACAUAAACUAUGCUCUAUUGAGAA